rnacentral:rRNA from 1 species
UACGGAGGAUCCAAGCGUUGUCCGGAUUUAUUGGGCGUAAAGAGCUCGUAGGCGGCUUAGAAAGUCAGGUGUGAAAACUCUGGGCUUAACCCAGAGACGCCACUUGAUACUUCUAUGGCUUGAGUUCGGUAGGGGACCAUGGAAUUCCUGGUGUAGCGGUGAAAUGCGCAGAUAUCAGGAGGAACACCGAUGGCGAAGGCAGUGGUCUGGGCCGAUACUGACGCUGAGGAGCGAAAGCGUGGGGAGCGAACAGG